rnacentral:lncRNA from 1 species
CCCCGCCCCCCAGUAUUCCUCCCAGAAAGAAACAGGAAAGUGCCCCCCCAUUUCACCUCAACUUGCUUCCUUUCAAUGUUGUUGCAGAGAGACAGAUUCUAAGCCUGUGACUAGUAACAAAAAGUUACAGCUUCCACCAAAACUGUGGUCCAAGGAUGCAGCCUUAAGAAAACAUCUCACGCUUAAGCAAUCUGCAGAAUUUCUGAUUUUGACCAGACAACAACCGUGCUCAGAGUCUCUGGAAAACUCUCCUUUCAGUGCCAGCUUUAAUUGACUGCCUAUGAACUAAGAAAUGCCUGCCAGGUGGCCAGGCAGUCUCAGUGUUCCUCCAAAUAAAAACACAGGCC